rnacentral:rRNA from 1 species
GAUGAACGCUGGCGGCGUGCCUAAUACAUGCAAGUCGAGCGAAUGGAUUAAGAGCUUGCUCUUAUGAAGUUAGCGGCGGACGGGUGAGUAAUACGUGGGUAACCUGCCCAUAAGACUGGGAUAACUCCGGGAAACCGGGGCUAAUACCGGAUAACAUUUUGAACCGCAUGGUUCGAAAUUGAAAGGCGGCUUCGGCUGUCACUUAUGGAUGGACCCGCGUCGCAUUAGCUAGUUGGUGAGGUAACGGCUCACCAAGGCAACGAUGCGUAGCCGAACUGAGAGGGUGAUCGGCCACACUGGGACUGAGAAACGGCCCAGACUCCUACGGGAGGCAGCAGUAGGGAAUCUUCCGCAAUGGACGAAAGUCUGACGGAGCAACGCCGCGUGAGUGAUGAAGGCUUUCGGGUCGUAAAACUCUGUUGUUAGGGAAGAACAAGUGCCAGUUGAAUAAGCUGGCACCUUGACGGUACCUAACCAGAAAGCCACGGCUAACUACGUGCCAGCAGCCGCGGUAA